UCCACUACCACAUUCAAACGGUGAAAAGAUCGACGGGGUCCAGGGUUAGCACAAGGGCAGCAGAUCAUGCCCCUAUCCACUUCCUUGGGGGUUCUAUUCAUGCUCAACAGGGAAAUGAGAAUCGAGGUCCUGAGCCCGUUUUGCUGCAGGGAUGGGCAGUUGUGGAGUUGCAGAGAGCCGAACGAUGGAAAGUUGCUGCUGGGGAAGAACGGAGUAGAGUACGGGAUGUGCAUCUCAGUAAACCAAGUUGAAAUCUUGGGAAAAUAUCUUCUCUAGAUGACUUGCAAGCCAUACCAUGAAAUCAAGCGAGGACACCAUCUGUAGGUGUUUGCAAAGAAACAUUAAGGAAACCGAGUGUUCGAGGGGUUUGAUUGCAAGGUUACUUCUUAGUUGGGUCACAUCUUAUGAGGUAUUGCUCAUACAGAUACAUGAGCAUCGUCAAUCAUGAGACCACCAGCGGAUUGCCAAUAUCAUCUACCAGAUUGAUCUACAUGUCGUGACAUCCAUUUCGUUGAAGAAUUUUACUGCCAAACAAUAUGCAGCAUCACCUCUAAGCAGUGCUUUGUAGGCAAGCAUUC